UGGGGAAUUUUGGACAAUGGGGGAAACCCUGAUCCAGCCAUCUCGCGUGUGCGAUGAAGGCCUUCGGGUUGUAAAGCACUUUUGUCAGGAAAGAAACGUCAUGGGUUAAUACCCCGUGAAACUGACGGUACCUGCAGAAUAAGCACCGGCUAACUACGUGCCAGCAGCCGCGGUAAUACGUAGGGUGCAAGCGUUAAUCGGAAUUACUGGGCGUAAAGCGUGCGCAGGCGGUUCGGAAAGAAAGAUGUGAAAUCCCAGAGCUCAACUUUGGAACUGCAUUUUUAACUACCGGGCUAGAGUGUGUCAGAGGGAGGUGGAAUUCCGCGUGUAGCAGUGAAAUGCGUAGAUAUGCGGAGGAACACCGAUGGCGAAGGCAGCCUCCUGGGAUAACACUGACGCUCAUGCACGAAAGCGUGGGGAGCAAACAGG
rnacentral:rRNA from 1 species